AAUAUUGCACAAUGGGCGCAAGCCUGAUGCAGCAACGCCGUGUGAGUGAAGAAGGUUUUCGGAUCGUAAAACUCUGUCCUUAAGGGAAGAAACAAAUGACGGUACCUUAGGAGGAAGCCCCGGCUAACUACGUGCCAGCAGCCGCGGUAAUACGUAGGGGGCAAGCGUUAUCCGGAAUCACUGGGCGUAAAGGGUGCGUAGGCGGCUUAGCAAGCCAGGGGUGAAAGGCAUUGGCUCAACCAAUGUAAGCCUUUGGAACUGUUAAGCUUGAGUGCAGGAGAGGUAAGGUGGAAUUCCUAGUGUAGAGGUGAAAAUUCGUAGAUAUUAGGAGGAACACCAGUGGCGAAGGCGACUUACUGGACUGUAAACUGACGCUGAUGCACGAAAGCGUGGGUAGCGAACAGGAUUAGAUACCCUGGUAG
rnacentral:rRNA from 1 species